rnacentral:rRNA from 1 species
CAAUAGCGUAUAUUAAAGUUGUUGCGGUUAAAAAGCUCGUAGUUGGAUUUCUGCUGAGAACGACCGGUCCGCCCUUUGGGUGUGUAUCUGGCUCUUUCUUGGCAUCUUCUUGGUGAACGUUGCUGCACUUGACUGUGUGGAGCGCUACCCAGGACUUUUACUUUGAGGAAAUUAGAGUGUUUCAAGCAGGCAUACGCCUUGAAUACAUUAGCAUGGAAUAAUAAGAUAGGACCUCGGUUCUAUUUUGUUGGUUUCUAGAGCUGAGGUAAUGAUUAAUAGGGACAGUUGGGGGCAUUCAAAUUUGACUGUCAGAGGUGAAAUUCUUAGAUUUGUCAAAGAUGAACUACUGCGAAAGCAUUUGCCAAGGAUGUUCUCAUUAA